rnacentral:rRNA from 1 species
UACGUAGGGUGCGAGCGUUGUCCGGAAUUAUUGGGCGUAAAGGGCUCGUAGGCGGACUGGUAAGUCUGGCGUGAAAUCUCCACCACUCAACGGGGAGGUGCCGUCGGAAACUGUCAGUCUGGAGUACGGUAGAGGACCAUGGAAUUCCAGGUGUAGCGGUGGAAUGCGUAGAGAUCUGGAAGAACACCGGUGGCGAAGGCGGCCUGCUGGGCAGUAGCUGACGCUGAUGCGCGACAGCGUGGGGAGCAAACAGG